GACGAACGCUGGCGGCGUGCUUAACACAUGCAAGUCGAACGGAAAGGCCCUGCUUUUGUGGGGUGCUCGAGUGGCGAACGGGUGAGUAACACGUGAGUAACCUACCCUUGACUUUGGGAUAACUUCAGGAAACUGGGGCUAAUACCGGAUAGGAGCUCCUGCUGCAUGGUGGGGGUUGGAAAGUUUCGGCGGUUGGGGAUGGACUCGCGGCUUAUCAGCUUGUUGGUGGGGUAGUGGCUUACCAAGGCUUUGACGGGUAGCCGGCCUGAGAGGGUGACCGGCCACAUUGGGACUGAGAUACGGCCCAGACUCCUACGGGAGGCAGCAGUGGGGAAUAUUGCACAAUGGGCGGAAGCCUGAUGCAGCAACGCCGCGUGCGGGAUGACGGCCUUCGGGUUGUAAACCGCUUUCGCCUGUGACGAAGCGUGAGUGACGGUAAUGGGUAAAGAAGCACCGGCUACCUACGUG
rnacentral:rRNA from 1 species